GCACAUGCCAUCUCCACAACAGAGGUUACGUAGAGUGUUGGAAAUCAUGCAUGCUGUCACCCCGCCAUCAUCAUCCAUCUAGCGCUGCAGCCCUCUCGGCCCGUCUGAGGCCCAUUAGUUCGAGGAGAUUGGUCCCUAACAACUGAGGUAGCCAUUCAGUUGGCCUGAAGGACAUCAACAACAAUGGGAGCAUUUGUGUCGACAUCUUGAAGGACGAAAGGAGCUCUACUCUAACUAUUUCCAAGCCAAUGAAGGCAGAAUAGGGAAGGCCUCCAGUUCAGUUACUUACAGAUAUGCAUGGUUGAUAAUUGAUGAGUUUUUAAGGCCCAGUUCAGUUACUUACAGAGCUGACUGAUAAAUGAAGAGUUUUGCAAGUGGUUUUCAUCAUAAAUUAAGAGUUUUGCAAGUGAUUUUCAUGAUAACAUGGUAGGC